GGGCAGAUAGCUCAGCAGGUAAGAGCGCCGGUCUCACAUGCCGGAGGUCGGAGGUUCGAGUCCUCCUCUGCCCA
rnacentral:tRNA from 1 species